CAAACAGUUCUAAAAACAUAUGAAAAGGUUUUAUGUCAUCAUAAAUGUUAUACAUGGUUACCUUAAGGUUCAUCCUAGUGACUUUCUUUGCACUUGCACUUUCUCCCACCACUCAACAUGUUAUAUCCAGAAUAAACACUGAAAUAAUAAGAUUUCAUGUUAGAACACACACAUAAUAUUAUGUAAUUUAAUUUAUUGAGUAAUAAAUUUAUAAAUGUAAUAUAAUCGUAAUCAUAAUGGUUUAAUAAAUCUCUAAUUUAUACUAGGAAAUGCAAAAUUUCAGAUUUUUCUGAGAAGUGUAAGUAUGAGAAAUAAAACCUCAAAAUACCUAAAUAAUACUUAAAAAUAAAAAAUAAUACUUUUUUUUUAUCAACAAAGAAUAAAUAAAAUAAAGAUCUCAACCCUUAUACAAACCCAAACACAAGUUUCCUACCACCCUACCAACUAAGGAUCCAACAAACAUUGCACUAUAGAUCAAGACAAAAUCCCAGUACAAGAUAUAGAAACCCAACAAACACAGUUACAUCAUCCCACCAAAGAAAAAAAAAUAGUAAACGGUGAAUUUUUGGAAUUUUGAUGGACCCCAAUCUCCGUUACCUCGUUUUGAGCAACUUUCAUUUUUUACGCGUCUCCAUCCGACUUGUCUAUCAAAAGUUAUGACCGUUUCAAGUUUCUUCAUGCUAAUUUUUGCCAACUCCAAAUCUAUCACUCUUCUCCUCAAUAUCACGACUCCUCCAUCAAAUAUUUACUAAAUGAAGUUUCCACAAACCAGAGAAAAGUUCU
rnacentral:lncRNA from 1 species